rnacentral:misc_RNA from 1 species
AUUAGCAUGCGAAUGUACAAAUAUAAAAAUUUCCAACUUUGCUGAUUGUUUCUUUCUAAAAUCAAAACUCUUAAAAAUUAUUUUUUAAAGUGCAUAAAAACUUUUGAACAUAAAAUAAAUAAAUAAUAAUUGGAGAAGCAUUUAGGCUAGACGAAGUAUCUUAUUUUUGAGUUCGCUAAAGUACUUUUUCCCCGCUUAACGGAUCGUUGUCUUUGAUGUUUCUCUUCUUUAGCUUCCAUCUAUUAUCCCUAUGCACUGUGCUUUGUACAUUUUAUUCUGAU